AUAGAAGAAGUGCACAUAUCCAGUCAAGGAUAUUAAGUAAGAAUGAACUGGAGAAACUACAAAAUCGAACACACAAGUAUAUUUAUGAAUCCUAUGACCCUAAGAGAAACUCAAGAACUCGCUUUGCCAUAUCAAGUAAGGCACAGGCAGGUGACUUUCACCCAUCAGUCCUAUUCGAUGUACAAGUAAGAAAUCUGGAACAGGAAGUUCCACAUGGAAUUUAUCCUUGCUGAAUCGAAAUACUCCACUCAGUGUCCUUAAGGAACUAGCAAAGAACACAGCUGCUAUCCACUUGCCUA